rnacentral:rRNA from 1 species
AUUGAACGCUGGCGGAAUGCUUUACACAUGCAAGUCGAACGGCAGCACGGGAGCUUGCUCCUGGGGCGAGUGGCGAACGGGUGAGUAACAUAUCGGAACGUACCCAGUCGUGGGGGAUAACUAUCCGAAAGGAUAGCUAAUACCGCAUACGUCCUGAGGGAGAAAGCGGGGGAUCGCAAGACCUCGCGCGAUUGGAGCGGCCGAUAUCGGAUUAGCUAGUUGGUGGGGUAAAGGCUCACCAAGGCGACGAUCCGUAGCGGGUCUGAGAGGACGACCCGCCACACUGGAACUGAGACACGGUCCAGACUCCUACGGGAGGCAGCAGUGGGGAAUUUUGGACAAUGGGGGCAACCCUGAUCCAGCCAUUCCGCGUGAGUGAAGAAGGCCUCGGUUGUAAGCUCUUUCUAGCA